UCGAGGAUCAUUCGCAAUGGGGGAAACCCUGACGAUGCGACGCUGCGUGGAGGAUGAAGGCCUUCGGGUUGUAAACUCCUGUCAUGAGGGAAGAGGAGAGUGUCACUAACAUUGACGCGAUUUGACGGUACCUCAAGAGGAAGCCACGGCUAACUCUGUGCCAGCAGCCGCGGUAAUACAGAGGUGGCGAGCGUUGUUCGGAUUUACUGGGCGUAAAGGGCGCGUAGGCGGCGAUGUGUGUCGGGUGUGAAAUCCCAGGGCUCAACCCUGGAAGUGCGCCCGAAACUGCAUCGCUUGAGUGCGGGAGGGGAGAUCGGAAUGCAGGGUGUAGCGGUGAAAUGCGUUGAUAUCCUGCAGAACACCGGUGGCGAAGGCGGAUCUCUGGAACGCAACUGACGCUGAGGCGCGAAAGUCGGGGGAGCAAACA
rnacentral:rRNA from 1 species